UACAGAGGUCUCAAGCGUUGUUCGGAUUCAUUGGGCGUAAAGGGUGCGUAGGCGGCGCGGUAAGUCGGGUGUGAAAUCUCGGAGCUUAACUCCGAAACUGCAUUCGAUACUGCCGUGCUUGAGGACUGGAGAGGAGACUGGAAUUUACGGUGUAGCGGUGAAAUGCGUAGAUAUCGUAAGGAAGACCAGUGGCGAAGGCGGUUCUCUGGGCCUUACCUGACGCUGAGGAGCGAAAGCGUGGGGAGCGAACAGG
rnacentral:rRNA from 1 species